UACAGAGGGUGCAAGCGUUAAUCGGAAUUACUGGGCGUAAAGCGUGCGUAGACGGUAGCGUAAGUCGGGUGUGAAAGCCCCGGGCUCAACCUGGGAAUUGCAUUCGAGACUGCUCUGCUAGGGUGCGGAAGAGGGAAGCGGGAAAUUUCCGGUGUAGCGGUGAAAUGCGUAGAUAUCGGAAGGAACACCAGUGGCGAAAGCGGCUUCCUGGUCCAGCACCGACGUCAGCACGAAAGCGUGGGGAGCAAACAGG
rnacentral:rRNA from 1 species